GGGGGCGCACCGGUUUCGACGGGGAUGCGGACAUCGUUGAUUGCGGGUCGAGGCGCCGCUGGCCUCGUAAAAAGCGGCAAAAAAAGUAAUUGGCAACGAUUACGAAUACGCUUACGCGGCUUAAUCAAGCCGCGCCGUUGCAGAAUGUCCGCGCCUGACGGACAACUGUUACGGACGAUUUAUUCAGGCUGGUAUCCGAAAAGUGUUUGCCGCCAAGGAUACAAGACUAUCAGGCGGACUGGUCGCGAUAUACUCCGGACAGGGGCAAAAUCGCGAUAAGAAAUAAUCCUGUCCUACACCCGUAGAUAUUGCGAACGAUGCUUCUCGGACGCGAGUUCAACUCUCGCCGCCUCCACCA
rnacentral:tmRNA from 1 species